AAGAAAGCGGGCGAGUCGCGAGCUCGAAGCGUCGUACCCGAGGCGAAACACCCACUCUCAGCCCGUUGCUGGCGAUUGAGCCGGCGCAGAGCUCCACCAAAUCGAUCCCCUGCAUACUUCCUCCCGCGCUCCAAUCUCUCUUCUCGCGCGCGCCAAAUCGUUCUGCUGCGCGCCAAGUUGAUGGAUUAAACACCCUUUCCCCCAAAUCCACCCACUUCAUCCCUAAUCCUCACAUAUAAACCCUAGACAGCAGCCCCGCUGGCGGCGGCUCUCUUCUCUGCAAGAUGGCUCGGCAGUCCAAGAGGACCUCCGCGCCGGUGCCAAUGGGGAUCCCUCCGGCUGGGGCUCAGGUCGUUCCUCCCCAGGGGGCUCAGCCCACUACACCGACAGCCAUCCCUUCCCUGUAUAGCUCAAGUUCUUGGUGUCCUCCAUGUCCACAACAAUCCACGUUGCCCUCCUCCACUCCAUAUUGUAUUCCUGGUUUGCAGCAGCUAAGAAUGGUUGGUUCAUCAACUCAAGGCCUUUGGUGGGCACCUCAUUCCUCUGCAAAUAUGGAAGAAUCAGAUCUGCAAGUUUGGUUGGUGCAUGGCUUAACAAUUCAAAUGAUCCAAUCCAUGCAAAUUACAAAAAGAAUGAACAAUAUUGGAAAGAAGUUACUGCUGCCUACAACAGUGCAGUCCCAAAAAAACGUGCAAGGCUAAUGAAGCAAGUUAAGGAUCGAUUUGGAAGAAUUAAGAAAAGGGUUCAAUGGUUUUGUGGUAGCUGGAAAGAAGCUAAUGCUUUGUGGGCUAGCGGUGAAUCUGAUGUGGACUUAAUGGAUAGGGCAAUGAAACUUUAUGAAGAGGAGCACAAAAAAGAUGGCCCGUUCAGUUUUAAGCAUUGUUGGGAUAUUCUUCGCGAGGAACCAAAAUGGGAUGCCUAUUUGGAGCGCAUUGCAAAUCUGGAUCCAGACAAGAGAAAAUUCAAUGUUGAUGAUGAUGUGGUUCAUGAUUUCUCUAUAGAAUCUGAUACAGAAGAACGACCAAUAGGUUAUUAUCUUGCUGAUGAUGAUGUGGUUCAUGAUGUGGUUCAUGAUUUCUCUAUAGAAUCCCUCAAGUUCAUUUUUCAGUCAAUGGUAAUGAGUAUGACACAGGUUACUAUCUUGCUGAUGGUAUAUACCCAGAAUGGGUUGUCUUUGUGAAGACUAUACCAGUUCCACAGACUGAGAAGCAGAAGGUUUUUACCAAGCAGCAGGAAGGGCAAAGAAAAGAUGUCGAGCGUGCUUUUGGGGUACUACAGUCACGUUUUGCCAAUGUUCGUCAGCCUGCACGACUGUGGAAGCGCAAAAGUGUUGGAAGGAUCAUGUUAGCUUGUGUGAUUCUCCACAAUAUGAUAGUGGAAGAUGAGAAAGAACAAGCAACCAUCCACAUUGACUUGAAUGAAAAUCCAGGGGCAUCAAUUGCUCUACCUCCUGAAGUAAAUGUUGGUGGCAAUUUGUGCUUCGCUGAUAUUCUGCGUAGAAAAGCUUCUCUCCACUCUCGUCCGCACCAUACCCAACUGAAAAAUGACCUCAUGGAGCACAUAUGGCAUAAGUUUAGAAACAACCAUCAUAACUAGUAAUGGACUGUGCUAUGCUACGGUGACUGCUGCUGGUUUGUUGAUGCUAUUUAAAGUGACCGAAGACUGUUGGUGUAAUGGAUUGGCUGUUCUUCUGGACUGAAGUUGCAACUAUGGCUCAUUGCCUUUCGUCAUCUAGAUCAAUAACAAAUGACAUGUUUGCUGGAAGCUUAUUUAGCACUACUUUUGCUGUAUGCAUUUUGAGAAAGACUUCUGUAAUGUUUAGCACUGCUGUCAUGGUGCUAUUUUGUCAUCUAGGUAUUAAGAUGGAUAUUGUUCGCUGGAUUUAGAACUAGUUUUGGUGCAUGCAUUUUCAGAAAAACUUCUGUAAUAUUUAAGCACUGCUAUCAUGGUGCUAUUUUGGUUAUGGACCUUGAAUUAAUCGGCCAUAUUUGUUUUUAAGUAUUAUGUUAAUCUAUUAUUCAUUAUGA